CCUACGGGUGGCAGCAGUGGGGAAUAUUGGACAAUGGGGGGAACCCUGAUCCAGCCAUGCCGCGUGUGUGAAGAAGGCCCUCGGGUUGUAAAGCACUUUCAGUGAGGAAGAACGCCUGGUGGUUAAUACCCAUCAGGAAAGACAUCACUCACAGAAGAAGCACCGGCUAACUCCGUGCCAGCAGCCGCGGUAAUACGGAGGGUGCGAGCGUUAAUCGGAAUUACUGGGCGUAAAGCGCGCGUAGGUGGCUUGAUAAGCCGGUUGUGAAAGCCCCGGGCUCAACCUGGGAACGGCAUCCGGAACUGUCAAGCUAGAGUGCAGGAGAGGAAGGUAGAAUUCCCGGUGUAGCGGUGAAAUGCGUAGAGAUCGGGAGGAAUACCAGUGGCGAAGGCGGCCCUCUGGACUGACACUGACACUGAGGUGCGAAAGCGUGGGUAGCAAACAGGAUUAGAUACCCGAGUAGUC
rnacentral:rRNA from 1 species